UGUCCAACUGGUUUAACAUAUAGUUCAACGACAUCGUAAUCAGCUUCUAUCGGGUGGAUCAGUCACUUUAAUGGUGGACUUAAGCAAGCAUUUAUCAUUUUGUACAAAAUGAUUGAAAGUUCGAAAUACUUGGUUCUUACGGCAGAUGGGAUUGAUCAGAAGAUACAGUACGAAAUAAUACUAACAGGAUUAAACGACGGAUCGACGUAUGAAGUCAUUCUUUUCUCAAGAAACGAAAAAGGAAACUGUAAACAAAAUACUUCACUCCAAUUCGACACUGAACUACUUGUCGAACCACCAGCUGGAACCAUUGGAUAUAUAGCUGGUGGAACAACGGGAGGAAUAGUGGCGGCGAUUAUUCUGAUGAUAGUUGUGGUCAUUGUUUUGAGACGAAAGUACAACUUUGACUGUUUGUGUUCAUUCAGGUUUUCUCGAAAAGAUCUGUAUCAUGAUGCACAAAUAAAACAAUAGAUACACAAGGAGCUGAUACUCGUGGGUACAACCCAACUCAGACCUAUGAAGACAUUUCCAUGGUAACGGAUAGAUUCCCGUACGCUGCUCUGGAUAAUGGCGACCAUGGCCCCGAUAAUUUGCACGUGUACACGCCGUUGGCUGCGACUGGUUCAAAGACAAAGUUUACUACGAAAAUGUCAAAGAUGAUCCCGUUUACAACAACACAGUGCUUAAGAACCCGAUACAGUCGGUACUAUAGAAAAGUUACUGUAAACUAAAGCAUGACGCUAUAAAAGGACGUAAGAAGGAGUGAAGUUUUAGGGUUGUUGAACUUUUUCUUGCCUAUGAAAUGUUAAACAUUCAUUUUAUAGUAAAGCAAUGUGGACUCAUUCUUUGUUAAGGAUAUCACAGCAAUGAAUUAUUUGGAGUUAUGCAAAUACCUAUUAAUUUUCAACGUUCCAUGGAUAGGUGUCAGGUGUGUGUUUAAUUAUUUUUGUUCAAAAAUCACUUACAUUUAGUCCUUAUUAUAUCAUAUAUAAAAACAUGCAUGAUGCUCUUUCAUUUCUAUUUUUUUAUAUUCUAAUCUGAAGGGCUGCAGCUUAACUUCACGUUGGAACAUCUGCAAAUAAUCCAUAUUACACAAUAUACAAGGAUCGUCCAAAAUAGCUUAUAAUUGAUUUGUUUUUAAAGACGGAAAGAC